UAAGCAAUCUAUACCGUGAAACUGCGAAUGGCUCAUUAAAUCAGUUAUCGUUUAUUUGAUAGUACCUACUUACUUGGAUAACCGUGGUAAUUCUAGAGCUAAUACAUGCUAAAAACCUCGACUUCGGAAGGGGUGUAUUUAUUAGAUAAAAAACCAAUGCCCUCCGGGGCUCCCUGGUGAUUCAUAAUAACUAAACGAAUCGCAUGGCCUUGCGCCGGCGAUGGUUCAUUCAAAUUUCUGCCCUAUCAACUUUCGAUGGUAGGAUAGUGGCCUACCAUGGUGGCAACGGGUAACGGGGAAUUAGGGUUCUAUUCCGGAGAGGGAGCCUGAGAAACGGCUACCACAUCCAAGGAAGGCAGCAGGCGCGCAAAUUACCCAAUCCCGACACGGGGAGGUAGUGACAAUAAAUACUGAUGUGGAGCUCUUUAGGGUUUCACAAUUGGAAUGAGAAAAAUCUAAACCACUUAAACGAGGAACAAUUGGAGGGCAAGUCUGGUGCCAGCAGCCGCGGUAAUUCCAGCUCCAAUAGCGUAUAUUAAAGUUGUUGCAGUUAAAAAGCUCGUAGUUGAACCUUGGGCCUGGCCGGCCGGUCCGCCUCACCGCGUGCACUGGUUCGGCCGGGCCUUUCCUCCUGGGGAACCGCAUGCCCUUCACUGGGUGUGCCGGGGAAUCAGGACUUUUACUUUGAAAAAAUUAGAGUGUUCAAAGCAGGCAUUUGCUCGAAUACAUUAGCAUGGAAUAAUAGAAUAGGACGACGUGGUUCUAUUUUGUUGGUUUCUAGGACCGCCGUAAUGAUA
rnacentral:rRNA from 1 species